UACGAAGGGGGCUAGCGUUGCUCGGAAUUACUGGGCGUAAAGGGAGCGUAGGCGGACAUUUAAGUCAGAGGUGAAAUCCCGGAGCUUAACUUCGGAACUGCCUUUGAUACUGGGUGUCUUGAGUGUGAGAGAGGUAUGUGGAACUCCGAGUGUAGAGGUGAAAUUCGUAGAUAUUCGGAAGAACACCAGUGGCGAAGGCGACUUCCUGGACUGUAACUGACGCUGAGGCGCGAAAGCGUGGGGAGCAAACAGGAUUAGAAA
rnacentral:rRNA from 1 species